UAAAAAACAGUGAUGGAGAAAAGUAGGUAGGUUCCAGCUUUUCAGGGAUGGAGUGUCAUAGACUGAGAGCACUCCUAAAGUAUGGUCUGUUGAAGUUCUCUCCGGAGUUGCACGGCUGAAAGGGUUUGAUAGAGUAGGCUGUGACGGGAUCUUCCGCCGUUAAAAGGAAGGGGGUAUCGGAGUUAAUUCUGCUGAGAACGAAUUCCCGUACUUAACCAAGUGGGCAUGUUUACAUGCCAAUUAGGGUGGUACCGCGAAAACUUUUCGUCCCUGGA
rnacentral:ncRNA from 1 species